AUGUGUGGUAGGUGGCUUUUUGGGUGCUUUAAUUAAUUAAAUGAACUUAAGAGCGUAACGCUCUCUGGACCUCCUCCCUGUGGUACACUCUCCAGGGAGUGUCACUGGAGAGGUCUAAUCCGGGUCUAACUUGGAACGGCGAGACGUGAAGAACAAAAUGGCCGGCGCAGUGGUGGGUGGUGUGCGGGUGGCCGUCCCUGUGAUGAGGACUUCACAGACCUGUGCUGACCUCCAAUGAGGACGACUCUCUCUGAGGAAACGGCCAGUGGCCCAUUCAGCCAUUGCGCGGGAAAUGCAUAGUGCUAAUCUCGAGACUUUUAUCUGCAGGGUUGGGGCCGCGUUUGAUCUCUGGAGCCAGAGACCGCUGUCUCCGGUUGCAUUUCAGUUCAAAAGAGCUUGGAAAAUGAAACAAGAUCCAUCCUUUUGCACAAGGAGUGAGCUAACUCGUGGAGCAGUGCUUCAGCGUUUCAAAUCCGGUCCUGAGGAAUUCCAUUACUACCCAGGAUGAAUACAGGUUGUCCUGAUAAUUUUUUUCCAUCCAAAGAUGCCAGCUGGUCUGAAGACUCAACUCUUGAAAAGAGUUGAAAGUGCUAAGUAUUUGCAGUGCCAGUGAGGAGCAAACACCCCGUCUCACUCUGGAGCCUAGAAUGGAGCAGCUUGUUCCCCUGUAUGACUGGGAAUUGCCUGCCAUUCAGGAAAAUUACCUGUAUUCAUCCUGGGUAGUAACUGAAUUCCUCAGGACCAGUUAUGAAAAGACAAAGUAGGGUGUCCCCAGCACCCUACAUGAUUCAAAGAUCCAGCAUCAUAUUUGGAGGCUAGGAAUGAUUUCAGAAAAAGUUAACCAUGCUUUUCAAAACGAGAUCUCCCUAUGCCAUACAAACAAGCCUUGACUUCAUGACAAUCCUGCUUCAGUCUCCAGAGUGGGAUAACGGGCAGUGCCACCAUUCCCAGCUGCAACCCAUUUUUCUUUGCUCUAAGGUCUCUGGAAAAUACAGUAUAUACAAAUGGUGUCCCAAGUCUUGGAAACAAAAUUUCUCCCUGGCUGUUGAACUUGGCAUAUAGUUAGUCUCACUAAUAAAAUUUUGCUCAACA